rnacentral:rRNA from 1 species
CAGUCGAGCGACGGAUAAGGAGCUUGCUCCUUUGAAGUUAGCGGCGGUACGGGUGAGUAACACGUGGGUAACCUACCUAUAAGACUGGAAUAACUUCGGGAAACCGGAGCUAAUGCCGGAUAACAUUUGGAACCGCAUGGUUCUAAAGUAAAAGAUGGUUUUGCUAUCACUUAUAGAUGGACCCGCGCCGUAUUAGCUAGUUGGUAAGGUAACGGCUUACCAAGGCAACGAUACGUAGCCGACCUGAGAGGGUGAUCGGCCACACUGGAACUGAGACACGGUCCAGACUCCUACGGGAGGCAGCAGUAGGGAAUCUUCCGCAAUGGACGAAAGUCUGACGGAGCAACGCCGCGUGAGUGAUGAAGGUUUUCGGAUCGUAAAACUCUGUUAUUAGGGAAGAACAAAUGUGUAAGUAACUGUGCACAUCUUGACGGUACCUAAUCAGAAAGCCACGGCUAACUACGUGCCAGCAGCCGCGGUAAUACGUAGGUGGCAAGCGUUAUCCGGAAUUAUUGGGCGUAAAGCGCGCGUAGGCGGUUUCUUAAGUCUGAUGUGAAAGCCCACGGCUCAACCGUGGAGGGUCAUUGGAAACUGGGAAACUUGAGUACAGAAGAGGAAAGUGGAAUUCCAUGUGUAGCGGUGAAAUGCGCAGAGAUAUGGAGGAACACCAGUGGCGAAAGGCGACUUUCUGGUCUGUAACUGACGCUGAUGUGCGAAAGCGUGGGGAUCAAACAGGAUUAGAUACCCUGGUAGUCCACGCCGUAAACGAUGA